CGUGGGGAACCUGCCCCUAAGUCUGGGAUACCAUUUGGAAACAGGUGCUAAUACCGGAUAACAACAGAUGAUGCCUAUCAACUGUUUAAAAGAUGGUUCUGCUAUCACUCUUGGAUGGACCUGCGGUGCAUUAGCUAGUUGGUAGGGUAACGGCCUACCAAGGCGAUGAUGCAUAGCCGAGUUGAGAGACUGAUCGGCCACAUUGGGACUGAGAUACGGCCCAGACUCCUACGGGAGGCAGCAGCC
rnacentral:rRNA from 1 species